rnacentral:tRNA from 1 species
GGGGAUUUAGCUCAGCAGUAUAAGUGCCUGCCUUGCAAGCAGGCAGUCAUGAGUUCAAUCCCUG